UUUGCUACAAACCCUCUCCGACGAAAUCUCUUCCUGAGAACCACCAUAACUCACUGUCAUCUACCGCCACCAUUUGCGAUCGGAGUGCAGAACCACUGUCGCCUCGUGCCAGUCGCCACCUCAUCUGCCGUAUCGUUGUCAGCCAGAAGAGCAGAACGUCGUCAUCUCAACUCCGGCAGUAAGAUUUUUAGGGUUUUUAUUUUGUUGAGUUUAUUUGCAGAAAUUGGGACCUGGCCGACAUUCUCCUCUCCAUCUCGAAGCAGGUAAGUGUCAAAUGUAGGAAAGGGAAUGGGUGAUGGUAUUUGGUUGGUUGUUACUGGUAGAAGUUGGUGGUUUUUGUUUUGUGGGAUUUUCUUUCUUUUGGUACUGCAGACUAAAACGCAGGAAAGGGAAUGGGUGAUUGGAGUGGAAAAGAAGGGAGUGGGAGAGAGAUUUGAGGAGUAUAGUGGACUAAUUAAUGGGUGGGGGAAAGUAGUUUGAAGAAUUUGGAAAAUAACAAUAAAAUCAACAUGAAUAGAGAUUAAGAAUGGAGUCAAAACAGUAUAGAUUUAUGCACUAAUUUAUAACUUCCUGCUUCUCCAAUUCAAAACAUUCAUAUGUAUUUUAGCAAAACCAAGUCAACUGCUUCUUCUUCCUGCAAAUUCUAUAUUUUUUCUGUUUAUGUUUCUGCAAAUUCUGCAUUGUUUCUACAUUGUUAUAAACUGCAAUUAUGAGGAUAGGAUUGUUGUUCUUGUCGGGACAGGCACUAAGAUUCACUAUAUUUUGCUUAAUACACUCAACACAUGCGAUUAACUCAGAAACAGUGGUGGAGAAGUGUAGAAAGUAAGGUCUAUUGGGAGAACUUACAUUCAUCUAUAGCAUCAAGAAAGUAAGGUCUAUUGGGUGAAGAGGAGAAGAAGAAAGGGCUUUCUCUUUCUCCUGCUGAUUCUGUCUGCGUCCAAAGGAGGAAAUUCACCAUUCACAUAUGUCAUUGUUGACAACCAAAAGUGGAUUGCAGGGGGAUAUGGGCUGACACUAAGGUUCUGUCUGUCUUCCCCUUUCUACUCAUGCACGUGCGAAUUGAAAUGGGGAACUUGGGCAACAUGCUUCGUAUUAUAAUUCCUGCAGUUUGUAAAGAGAAAGGCAGCCCAUCUUGAGGCUUAUUUGGGUGCAGCGAGCAUUUUGAGGCUUAUUUGGGGUGCAUCAAGCAUACUUACUUAGUAUUGAUUAAGUAGUAUAUAUUUUCAUGAUUUUUUUUUGGUGUAUGGUAAUAGUCCGUUGUUGGAAGAACUAUAGACAUGACUAUAAUUUUUGUUGUAAAUAAUUUUAAUGUUUAAAUAUAUUUUUAAUUUGAAAUUUAGUGU